GGCGGUUGCCAUGGUGAGGCCCGCUCAGUAGCGACCGCGAGCUGGCGCCAGGGGCCGCAGGGUCGGAGCGUGGCUUUGAAGCCGCUUACGCUGCCACCAUGAGCGGCCGAAGUAAAGGUAGAAAGUCCUCCCGCGCCAAAAACCGGGGCAAAGGCCGAGGCAAAGCCCGAGUUCGCGCUGCUCCCGACGACGCCCCCCGCGACCCGGACCCAACACAGUGCCAGAGGCUCGGGGAGGAAACCCAGGCAGCACAGGAACCCUCCUGCCUGCCAGACUGAUGGGCGGGUAUGUGGACAUGUGCUCACUGUCAUCAUGCUGUGGCUCCAGGUGUGGCCUUGCAUAUGUGGAAGAUUGAUGCUAUAUGCUGCUUAUUUUGCCAUAAACAUGCACAGAAGUGGAGAGGAUGGUCCCUGGACCCUGGGUACCCAUCACCUAGCUACACCAAUUAUGAUCAACCUGGUGCCUUCCUCUCCCCACCUGUAUUGUUGAUGGAAAGUCCGACACUGUACCAAUUCAACCUUGACUACUUUGGGAGAUCAGGACUCUUGUGGUGGUGGUGGUGGUGGGGCACACUGUCAUGAUCACAUCAGGUCUGCUCUUUGUUUUGAGUGUUAAAUGAUGAUGUUCUAGAAAUGGCCUUUAGAAGUGAAAGUCUUCACGAUUAACAGGGAGUACUCAAAAAGAGAUGAAAAUAUGCUCCCUCUUCCCUGCAUCUGCAAAAGGAGAGAGACUUGUGUUGUAAAUCUUUCAAAGACUGAUAUGAUAAGGUGCUUACUUGAGACCCUUCACCAGAAUAUCAGUCUUUUUUGCCUGUAAAAGAUGGAGACUUGUGUGACUGUUAGAAGUACCAUCAGCGUGUCCUGGUCUCAUAAUAUAACUCUGGUCUUGAAAGUGAAUUUUGGAAAUUGUUGCUGUGUUCUGUAAAAAUAACCUCCCCAACGUUAUCAGUAACUGGUUGUCUUACUUGCUAAUUUGACACCCCGGUAAUAAUGCAAUUAUUCCUUUGUUCCUAAACAGUAUAAAUAGUUGUAAGUUUGCAUGCGUGGUGGAAAAAUAAAAGUCUUAUCUCUGUUAUAUAUUUUUUAUUUUUAAA
rnacentral:lncRNA from 1 species